AUGUUGUGGCCACUGAGUGUGACAAAGGAAGAGUUGCCGAAAGUGUUACACAUUGACACAACAUCUUCAUUAGCAACAGCUUACGGAGGGGAGGUACCAGUUGUGCAUCCACAUACUGAUCUAUCCUUCCACCGGGAGAAAGGAGAAAUGUUUCUUUUGAAGCACCAGAAAGAAGAAAUGUUCAAGGGUGGAUGGUGGAUUUGUCUCACAGAUGCAAGGCUCCUUAGGUCCCUCUCACCUGUAGAAAGUUUUUUAGAAGCCUCAGUCAUACAUAUUGAUAUCUGUACUGCACCUGAUGUUGGCGGCAGCAACAUCCAGAGAACAAGGAGUGACAAACUAGAGCAAGUCCAACAGCAUAUAAGUACCUUAAUGCACUCGAAGUACAGAGAUGCCUUCAGGGAUGCCCCAGUUGCAGCAGUGAUGAUGCGGGACUGCCCCGUGCUAGAGAAAUGGUGGCAUGCCAACUAUACAUGUUUAAUAAAGGUGAUGAUGCCCGGCCAGGGCAACAGACUCUUGGAGGAUGCUGGAGGUGCUAGUACCAGUGCUUUAUUAUUGCCUAAGUUUAUGUGUGACUUGGUUACAUCGCCGCACGUGUAUGAUAACUUGUCCAUCACUAAUAUCCCUGGACCUCCGCAUGGAUCAGGAUGGGAUAGACUAAGAUGGUGCCGCGUGGAGAGAUGCCCCAGGUUACACACAGUCUUCACUGUUCCCUAUGGCACUAGUCUGCACAGCUUCGUUUGGCUGCAGACAUUAUGGGCAUCCAAGCUCCUCUCUGCACUAUAA
rnacentral:rRNA from 1 species